rnacentral:lncRNA from 1 species
AUAAAUUUUAUUCUUAACAUUUUAGUAUAAUUUGGGCCUUGUAUAAAAUAUUUUUGUAGGCUAUUUGUUUGAGCCUAACUUGUAUUCAUGGGGUAAAAAUAUUGAAAAGCCCAUAAUAUUUUAGAUACUUAUCGAAUGUAAUUCUUUAAAUUUUUGUAGAAUUUCAACCACAACUUUAAUUCUUCCAGUUUAAAAAUCCUCCUCAGCCAUCCAAUUUAUUUAGUCAAUCUUGUGCAAUAAGGAAUUCAUUUUAUCCUUUCCACCGCCUCACUUUUUUAUAAAAUUAGCUUCUCUCAUUUUCUGGAAAUAUUUCGAAAAUACAGCUAGCCAAUUUUGAUUUCCACAGCAGCAAAUUUAGCAGCAAAUUUUGAAGCAGCCAACUUUGAAGCAACAAAGUUUGAUUGAUCUCUUUUCACACUUUCACACGUUCUAUGUCAAAUAUUUCAAUCUAUUUAAACAUCAUUGUAUCAUUCUCAAAUUCACAAAUCAACAAAAAUUCACUCAAAUAUUUCCAAUUCGCAGCAACUGAUUUAUUUCACUCAUUCAAGCUGGUAAUUUUAAUAACUUUUUGAAAAGUUAUUUCAUUUCAAGCAUAUCAACAAUUUUCUGCAUUUUCGCCAAAACCAAGGCUAAACAUCAAAAACUUUGUUUUCAAAAUCCAAUCAUGCAUACAUCUAUUUUUCUGUAAUUUAUAUAUAUUGCUAAAUACAUGAAAAAGAAAAUAGAAUAAAUCUUAUAUAUUACAUGGGAAAUAGAGAUAGAAGAAGUGGAAAAGGGAUGGUGCCUAGGAUACGGGGAGCUGUUGAACAGCGCCGCCGGUGCUACGCGCCACGGCGGCCGGCGGGAGAAGACAGAGGCGGCGACGGUGGUUUGGUUUGGCAGCACCGGAUCUGGAAAGGGAGGCAGCCUGACCGGCUGCUGCUGCCGGCCAAAGGAGAGGUGGGAGGCAUGGACGGGGUGGUGGCGCUGGCAGGCGGCGUGCCGUCUGGUGGUGGCGGCGGUAGGAGGCUGAGAGGGAGAGAAGAAGAGAGGGAGUGAACGGCAGAGAGAGAGCGGCAGAGAGAAUGAAGAGGUUAGGCUGCGUAUGUGUUUUGGUGAAUUGGGGGUUUUAAUUAGGGAAAGUUAGAAUGGGCUUGGGCCCUAGGUUAACUAUAAUUUUUGGGCUUCAGUUUAUUAAGUGAUUGGGCUGUAGAUUUAGUAAAUAAAUUGGGCUUAAUUCUAUUUUUUUUUAUGGGCUGAAAUUGCAUAUAUUUUUACAAAUGAUAUUAUUAAAUUUUAUAUUUCAAUUUACAUUAUUAAUUUAAAUUUAGUUUUCAUUAAAUAUUGAGCCAAAAUAUUUUUAUAAGAAAAGCUCUUUUAUAAUCUAUUAGACCAAUGAUUUUUAAAUGGCUUUAUGAUAAUAAAUUCUUAAGAUUUAAAUUACUAUUAUUAUUAUUUUUAAGUUCAAAUAGGCCCAAUGCUUUAAUUAUUUGAAUUUAUCUGACUAGGUGCGGCGCGACUAGGAAGUGAACUUUACAUUCCUGCAGUUAAUUUUCAAA